rnacentral:rRNA from 1 species
AUUGAACGCUGGCGGCAGGCUUAACACAUGCAAGUCGAGCGGGGUGAUGGUGCUUGCACUAUCACUUAGCGGCGGACGGGUGAGUAAUGCUUAGGAAUCUGCCUAUUAGUGGGGGACAACAUCUCGAAAGGGCUGCUAAUACCGCAUACGUCCUACGGGAGAAAGCAGGGGAUCACUUGUGACCUUGCGCUAAUAGAUGAGCCUAAGUUGGAUUAGCGCGUUGGUGGGGUAAAGGCCUACCAAGGCGACGGUCUGUAGCGGGUCUGAGAGGAUGAUCCGCCACACUGGGACUGGGACACGGCCCAGACUCCUACGGGAGGCAGCAGUGGGGAAUAUUGGACAAUGGGGGGAACCCUGAUCCAGCCAUGCCGCGUGUGUGAAGAAGGCCUUAUGGUUGUAAAGCACUUUAAGCGAGGAGGAGGCUCUUUUGGUUAGUACCCAAGAUGAGUGGACGUUGCUCGCAGAAUAAGCACCGGCUAACUCUGUGCCAGCCGCCGCCGUAA